UCGCUACCAAAAUAUAACCCCUGGGUAGGCAGGGCAUAUCCAGAACUAGAAUUAGGGAUAAGCAUUGAGAAGAAAUUGUGAGAGUGAUGGAUGGGGUUAAAGCUCAUUUCUGGUUCAAGGAAGUAGUGGAUUGGCCCCAUCUACUGUAAGAAGCUGGCUCCUCUGUGAUGCUGUAAGGGGCUCUGAGGACACCAUCUUGGCAAACGGAUGGAAAUGCCUGGAAAAGCAGGACACCUUGCAAGGGAUGGGGAGAUGAGCACUAUAAAGGAACUGGAAGAGAAGCCCUUGGAUUUCAUAAGAGUCCUUUUGGUAUCUCUGAUUAAAGUGACAUGUGACAUCUGGGCAGCCACAAGCAGUCUUAGCAGCCAUACACUUCCUUCCUAGAACAGGGGACUGGAAAGUAAAGCCUAAUCCUAAAGAAAGAUAUCAGGGGCCACCAGCCUAAAUUUGGAAUGUAAAUGUAUUUACAGUCACCUUUAGAGCCUUUGAUUUGAAUGGAUUGUUUAAAUAUUCUACUUUGUAAUGUGGAAGUAUAAAAAAUUGCUUAAACUUAGCUAUCUGUGGGUUGAUGCUUCUCCUCACAACACUUGUGGCUCCCUUCCCUCAGAACUUUCCUUGUUUCUUACAGAACUGUCUUCCUUUAAAGAGCCAAGAAUUCAAUAUUUAGCUUUUGGAAAUGGAGGAUGAUUCCAGAGUGUGCAGUGCACAGCAGGCACUUGACAAAUAAAUACUUGUUGCACGAAUGAAGGAGAUGCAUACAAGACAGCCGUGAUAUUCACUACCUGAAAAGCUAAAAAAAAAAAAAGAAAAAAAAAAAAAAAAGAAAAAAGAGUGAUGGCCUCCAAACCUUCUGGUUUCUCUAAGUAUACUGGGCACAAUCAAUGUGAAGUCAAGCCCAUUCUGUAUAAAAAGCAGAAGACUUAGAAAUAUUUGAAAAUUAGCAAAAAGGUGGCUUCCAAAGCAGCCUAGAAAACAGGAUUAUGAGGGACCACAAAAUUUUGUGUCUGAGAUGAUAAAGAUUCCAAAUAUCCAUUCUAUUUUGUAGGCUAAGAGCACUAUUUUUAAGCUUUAAACGAAAUAGAUCAGACUACUAUAAACACGCACACACACGUGCUCUCUCUUCCAUUUACUUUCUGGGCUCUUUGAAUUGCAUAGUAGCAAUGCUACUGACAAUUUUUUAUCUAUGGAUAAUUUUGAAUCUUUCUGGAAAAUACUCUUUUUACAGCAAGUGCUCAUUUCAAGCUUGAGAUAAUUUCUGGGUCACAUUUUUACAGUAUGUAACCAACCCUGAAAAAGACUUUCUCAUAAGACGCCAGGUCAUUCACAACCAGUCUUAAGAAACUAUAUGUUUUCUGAGUGUGUGCUAAAAUAGCAAACUUAAAAGCAAGGCCAAAUCCUAAAGGUAGAUGGUUAGUGCCUGCUACCUAACUGAAAUAUAAAUGCAUUUACAGUUGUGUUGAGAUUCUUUGGGUGGGUAAAUACUCUUUCUGCUUUGUGAUAACAUAAUUAUCUGAUUAAGAAAUACAUUUAAUAUUAAAUAUUUUGGGACACCUGGGUGGCUCAGUGGUUGAGUGUCUGCCUUUGGCUCAGGGCAUGAUCCUCAGUCCAGGGAUCGAGUCCCACAUCGGGCUCCCUGCAAGGAUCCUGCUUCUCCCUCUGCCUGUGUCUCUGCCUCUCUGUUUCUCAUGAAUAAAUAAAUAAAAUCUUUAAAAAAUAAUAAUAUUAAAUAUUUUAUCUCAGGCCAUAUGCACAUUGUAUUCUCCAGAAUAAAAACUUCUUUGAGAGAGGCAGGCUCUGCUCAGAAUUACCAUUUGGGUGUAAUGAGAUGAAUGUUUCCCACAGAGUUACACUAACUUAUAGCUAAAUUUUCUUUGAGCUCAAUACUUUCAUGUCUUCUAGGAGUUAGGCUAUGAUAAAGUUGUGCCAUGACAUCUGUUAUAUCUUUCUUAAUUUAUUUUAUAAUAUUCUUUAUUAUGGGCCUUUUCUUUCUCUGGAUGAAUAGGCCUAAUUUUGCAGAAAUAUGCUUUGUAUAUAUUCAGUGAUCUCUCUAGUGAUCUCUCCAGCCACACGUAUGCAAACUUUCCAAAUGGAACAAAAUAAAAAACCAACCAUACAAAUAAAACCAUUGCGUCUUUACCACGGUCUUUAGUGCCCCUCACUUUUGCCUACUGUCUUCCUGGAGGGAGAAUAAUGGAUCAGUUUAUUUAUCUGCUAAAGCACCUCAGAAAUAUUUUUCUUUUUCCAUCUUUACAAUGACACAUUGCUAUCUCUUGUUGUCUUGCUGAUAAGAAAGUAACACCUGAGCCAAGAUCUGAGUGGGAGUUAGCCAUGUGACGGGUAGCAGGAGAAGCCUACCGUAGCAGGGUGCACCCCGAAAGGUGAGAAAGAGUUUAGUAUUUUUAAGUGAAUGGAAUAUGGCCAGGCUGGAUGGGGCAUAGAUCAGCAAGGCCAGUGAUUUGCCAGCAGGUUAAAUAAAUGGGCAUGAGUAAGGGGGAAACGAUAAAGAGGAAGGUGCUGAGAAUGGCGCUGGGUUUCUCCUGCUUGAGCACCUGGAGGGAGAGAGGGGUGAUUCACUAAGAUGUAGAGUCAUAGAGCAGCACAGCAGAGUAGAUGUUUAGUUUUUGACAUGUUAAGAAUGAGCCCCCUGUGUGAUAGGCAAGUAUCAAGUCGAGUCGGCAAUAUAAUCCUAAAGCUCAUAAAUGACGUCAGGGCUGGAGCUACAAACCCAUGAACCACUCACAUACUCAUGGACCAUAUCUGAAGCAAUGGGAGUGGAUAAGUGGGUAAUCCAUUACCGACAUUCAACAGCUUUACUCUGAAGAGUCUGCUCCCUCUUACAGCUACGACCAGAGAGCAUGGGGAGCUCAAUUUCUACCAUCAUGGCUUUGUACUAUAGUAGGCUCUUUCCAAAAAAUUAUUUUCCUUUUUUUAUUCCCCCCUACCCUGUUUUAGAACCAAAAGAGGUAAAAAGGACUAUAACAAUACAAAUUUCUGAAAGAAGUGUUCUGCGGGAAAGAAUGUAAUUUGCAUUAAAAAUAAAAACACAACAGAACAAAAAGUCCCAUGAAAAGCUAAAGAGAGUUCAUAAAAAUAAUUCUUAAUCAUUUCCUUUUUACUCAUAUUCCUUCUUCCAGCCAGGUCCUAUCAUUCUAAAUUUGACUUUGUAUGUGUAUGAGUUCUGUUUUUCCAUUCUGCAAAUAUCUGCUUUACUCACUGUGUGUGUAUAGAUGUAUUUGUAUGUUAUGGUCACAUGCACAUAUAUAUAACAUAUACAUAUAUAAUUAUAUAUACACAGUCUUUUCCUUAAAUAUAUGCUUAUUCAUGGCAAAUGAAAUGUAAGCUCCUGGAAAGGCUGGCAUAAUAUAUCAAUCAGUAGCUAUUCGAUAAAUAUUGCUGCCUGCCAAGAAUAUAAGAAGCUACAUAAAUAUGUUGGAUAUAAUGAUCCCCUAUGUUUAUUUUUUUUGCACUUAUUCCACGUUUUGCAGUCAACCUUUACUCUAUGGACUCUAGCUUCAUAUAUUUUGCUAUUUUCCAUAUUUGGGACUCUCGACUGUGGUAAUUAAUCUAUUAUUUUAUUAUUAUUAUUGUUAAAAAUGUUUAAGUAUAUGUGGCAUUCACUUUUAAUGCAUUAAAGCUGCUUUAUAAAAUCCUAUAUGCUACCCAUUAAUCGUUCAAAGGUCUCUGCUAACAUGUUUGCAGAUAAAGGCACGACAGUUUAUGAAUUUGUUAGGAAUUCCCUGUAUCAUAAUUCUAUGCAAUUCAGAACUUGUUCUACAGGAAAGGGAUCACUGAAACAUAUGUUAAAAGCUUUAUCACUUGUUUAUAAUUCAAUCUUGGAAUUUUAAAAUGGUGGUGUUUGGUAAGAAAAUCUAACCUGACAAAAUUCUCCUCCUAACCUUAAGAUACAACAGUCUACUUUGGCCACUUUGAGUCUCCACCCAAAAAAAUAAAAGGGAAUUGCUGGAGACCAUGAAGUAAUGAUUUUCUUUUCUCUGAAAUAAAUGACAAACAGACUUUAAGCUGCAUUCUUGGAAAAGUGAAGCAUAAUUUUUACUUCAUUUACUAAAGAAGAUAAUAAAUUUAUUUUUGAGAAUAAUACAAUCAUAACAGUAAGUCACAGUAAGGAUAUUUGAAUUUAUUGGUCUAUGUUCAUGUGUGCACUGAAAGGGCGGUCAGAAACACAACAAAAUCAUAGGACUCUAAGUAGCCACUGCUAUAAGUCUCUUACCUAGUUCCAGAUAUUAGGAAGACUUUGUUUUUGGUAUUUUGAAUCAUUUUUUAGUUGUUGACCUUUUAUUAAGAGUUUUAAGGGUUAUUUUCAGCAAUAAUUACCACCUUGGACACUGAUCCAAUAAAAUGAACUGAUGGAAACAUGAGCUAUUUGGAAAUAUUAGCACAGGAACAGCCAUAUGAAUGGAUGCAGAGAAAAAAAUCAUUAACUUCAUGCUAAGCUUUAGCUACAAUAACCAGAGAAUGACACCUGAUAGGACAAUAUUGCUGACAUUCUUGUUUAAAAAGCAUACAAGGAACUCCAACCACAGGACAAUGCAUAUUAGAUUACUGCACAUUUGCAUGACAUAAGCCAAGCUAGAAGCACAGAACGAAAGAGGUGCAGGAGAAAGGAUUCUGUUUUGCAGGGGAAAUAUUCAAAAGCAGAAAAGAAGCACAAAGGAAAUACCUUCAGAUCUCGCCUUUCCAGAUGCAAAAGUUCAGCCCCUCUGAUGUCAUGACGGAUGAAGAUUUCUUUGUACUCUCCCAAAUUGAGCAGAUCCAGCCAAGCAGCAACUUCCUCUGUGCCCCAUUUUUGAACUACCAAAGUUAAGAGCAAAACCCCCUUAAUUUCUACAUGCUUAAUGCAGUACAAAGCAAAGGUUGGCCAAAGAAGAUGCAAGACAGGGUACAGCGGCAGUGCUAGCAAAGGGAAAGGGCAAAGGUGUCGUGUUUCGACAAAACUCCCAUUUUG